CGUCUACUAGGUAGCCAGGACAGCAGUAGAUUGAACUGCUCCGUCUACUAGGUAGCCAGGACAGCAGUAGAUUGAACUGCUCUGUCUACUAGGUAGCCAGGACUGCAGUAGCUUGAACUGCUCUGUCUGGUAGGUAGCCAGGACUGCAGUAGAUUGAACUGCUCUGUCUACUAGGUAGCCAGGACUGCAGUAGCUUGAACUGCUCUGUCUGGUAGGUAGCCAGGACAGCAGUAGAUUGAACUGCUCUGUCUACUAGGUAGCCAGGACUGCAGUAGCUUGAACUGCUCUGUCUGGUAGGUAGCCAGGACUGCAGUAGCUUGAACUGCUCUGUCUGGUAGGUAGCCAGGACAGCAGUAGCUUGAACUGCUCUGUCUGGUAGGUAGCCAGGACAGCAGUAGCUUGAACUGCUCUGUCUGGUAGGUAGCCAGGACUGCAGUAGAUUGAACUGCUCUGUCUGGUAGGUAGCCAGGACUGCAGUAGCUUGAACUGCUCUGUCUGGUAGGUAGCCAGGACUGCAGUAGCUUGAACUGCUCUGUCUGGUAGGUAGCCAGGACAGCAGUAGCUUGAACUACACUGCCCCUAGCGGUCAUAAACAGGACCACAUCUGAAUUGUGAAUUCACGCCAUUUUAUGAUUUUUUUUAACCCCAGUUGUAAAAAAAGAAAUGUGUCAUUUCUACCAGAAACGCACUUAAAAAAGUCACGUGUUCACAGACUCACACACCA